ACAAAGGGCAGCAAGUUCGCGAGGACAAGCAAAUCCCAUAAACCGUGGCUCAGUUCAGAUCGUAGGCUGCAACUCGCCUACGUGAAGGAGGAAUCGCUAGUAAUCGCGGGUCAGCAUACUGCGGUGAAUACGUUCCCGGGCCUUGUACACACCGCCCGUCACACCAUGGAAGUUGGCCACGCCCGAAGCCGUUACUCCAACCCUUGUGGAGGAGGACGUCGAAGGUGGGGCUGAUGACUGGAGUGAAGUCGUAACAAGGUAUCCGUACCGGAAGGUGCGGAUGGAUCACCUCCUAAC
rnacentral:rRNA from 1 species